UACGUAGGGUGCAAGCGUUAAUCGGAAUACUGGGCGUAAAGCGUGCGCAGGCGGUUAUAUAAGACAGUUGUGAAAUCCCCGGGCUCAACCUGGGAACUGCAUCUGUGACUGUAUAGCUAGAGUACGGUAGAGGGGGAUGGAAUUCCGCGUGUAACAGUGAAUGCGUAGAUAUGCGGAGGAACACCGAUGGCGAAGGCAAUCCCCUGGACCUGUACUGACGCUCAUGCACGAA
rnacentral:rRNA from 1 species